rnacentral:lncRNA from 1 species
UUACAUAAAUCCGGCACCGCCACUACUGGCCUGCCAUUUGACAUUUCUUGGCGGCGGCAAGAUCGACUCCAGAUCGUCGUUUCUAGACGGCGCGCAGCGCACCGGCUCGACGACGGCUGGUCCAAUUCAGCGUCCGACAGGGAGACAGAGGCAGCAUCAUGUACAUCCGGCCGUUGCACCGAUGGGAGACAAACGAUGCUGGCUUUGCUUGAUACGAACAAAAUCGGCGGCGGCGGCGCGGCGGCAGACUCACGGUGCAACGCAUCGUCCAUCCAACCGACGACACGAUCGUCCCCCAGCGGCGUCAUUGGCAAGCAGGCGGUGGGCUUUGCCGUGAUGGCGUCGGUCCAUAUCCAUCGGAAGGCUCAUGGUUGCCAACCGGCGUCAGAACAUGUUGACUCCAAUGACUCAAAUGCUUACCUCAACCCUGCAACAAGCUAGCGUAGAGGGUCUGCGCCAUGGGAAAAAGCUCUUGUUUGGAAACUGUGAUUUAGUGGCAUA